rnacentral:tRNA from 1 species
GUCGCUAUCGACUAAAUGGUUAGGUCAUCACCCUUUCACGGUGAGAAUAUGGGUUCGAGUCCCGUUAGCGAUA